rnacentral:rRNA from 1 species
UACGGAGGGUGCAAGCGUUGUCCGGAAUCACUGGGCGUAAAGGGCGCGUAGGCGGCUCAUGAAGGCUGUGGUGAAAGUCCGGGGCUCAACCUCGGAUCGGCCGUGGCGACUCGUGGGCUGGAGCACUGUAGAGGCAGGUGGAAUUCCGGGUGUAGCGGUGGAAUGCGUAGAGAUCCGGAAGAACACCAGUGGCGAAGGCGGCCUGCUGGGCAGUGGCUGACGCUGAGGCGC